AAUCAACGCUGGCGGCGUGCCUAACACAUGCAAGUCGAACGCGAAAGGGGAGCAAUCCCUGAGUAGAGUGGCAAACGGGUGAGUAACACGUGGGUGACCUGCCAUCGAGUGGGGGAUAACGUCCCGAAAGGGACGCUAAUCCGCAUGACAUUCUGCUUUUGGAAAAGCGGAAAUCAAAGCUGGGGAUCGCAAGACCUAGC
rnacentral:rRNA from 1 species